rnacentral:rRNA from 1 species
UACGUAGGUGGCAAGCGUUGUCCGGAUUUAUUGGGUUUAAAGGGUGCGUAGGCGGUCUUAUAAGUCAGUGCUGAAAUAUCCCGGCUUAACCGGGAGGGUGGCAUUGAUACUGUAGGACUUGAGUAAAGUUGAGGUUGGCGGAAUUGACGGUGUAGCGGUGAAAUGCUUAGAUAUCGGGAGGAACACCAGUGGCGAAGGCGACUACCUGGCCCAUUCUUGACGCUGAGGCGCGAAAGCUAGGGGAGCGAACGGG